CCCGGCGGUGACGGGGGGAGUUGGGGGGGGAGCAGGGAAGCGUCGCCAGCCAAUCGCGCGCGUCGCGCCCAACGUGGGUUGCUGACGCGACGCGUCCCCGGAGCCUAUAGCAGCAGAGCACCAGACGGACCGUCCUCCCCCUCCUCUCCUACCCCGUUUGCUUCCAUCUCCGCCGUCUCCUCGGUCUCCCCUCCCACCCCUCUACCCCUCCUCCGCCAGCCGCGUCCUCCCGGGCUCGGAGAGGAUCUGUUCCUGGAGGAGCCGCGGGACGUCGAAACCAACCAAUGAGAAGAGGCGAGACGCGGAGAUUGGCACUGUGGAUGGGAAGGAGCAGGACCUGAAAUUCUCCCUUGGUGCUCCUGAAUGCUACUGCUGGCUCCUGCCACGCACACACACCCGCACGCACACGCACACACACGCAGGAGUGUAACACACUCCUCUGAAAACUUGAGUCGCAGAGAGAAUGCAGCGAGCUGGAACCGGUGGUGGGACAGCCUUCUCCUGGUACUUCAGGACAUAAUGGAGACUGACCAAAGAGAUUACUGACUGGGUGAAGAAUGGAGACUUUAAUUUCAAAUGAGCUUGUCUGCACUUUGCUUGAGAAAAAUCUUGGCUUGGAUGACACCCAAUAUAAUACGGUUUAUUUGGUGUAAGUGCAAGUAUUUUUCUUUUCCUUUUAAUUUUCUCAUUUCCUGAACACAGGACUUUCUUUCUGAGGAGUGUUUCAUACCACUGUUGUUGUCAUGUUUGGCUUCAUUUUAAAGAGUAAAAAAAAAAAAAAAAAAAAAA